CCCUUAGAUGUUCUGGGCCGCACGCGCGCUAUACUGAUGCAUUCAACGAGUCUAAAACCUGCUCUGAUAGGGGUGGGUAAUCUUUUGAAUGUGCAUCGUGAUUGGGAUAGAUGAUUGCAAUUUUUCAUCUUCAACGAGGAAUGCCUAGUAAACGCAAGUCAUCAGCUUGCAUUGAUUACGUCCCUGCCCUUUGUACACACCGCCCGUCGCUCCUACCGAUUGAAUGAUCCGAUGAAUAUCAUGGAUUGAGGAUGCAAGUAGGUUCGCCUAUCUUCAUCUUCGAGAAGUGAAGUAAAUCUUAUCAUUUAGAGGAAGGAGAAGUCGUAACA
rnacentral:rRNA from 1 species